rfam:Calocera viscosa TTFC12733 unplaced genomic scaffold CALVIscaffold_1, whole genome shotgun sequence.
GUCCCCGUGGCCUAAUGGUUAAGGCGUCGGAUUCCGAUGGGACAAUCCGGAGGCUGUGGGUUCGAGUCCCGCCGGGGACU